UGCUCAGGAUCACCUGGCGUCUCUCUGCUCAGGAUCACCUGGCCCUCUCUGCUCAGGAUCACCUGGCCCUCUCUGCUCAGGAUCACCUGGCGUCUCUCUGCUCAGGAUCACCUGGCCCUCUCUGCUCUGGCUGAAAAACAUUGUCACGUAAGGUGUUCAGGAAAUGAAGGAGAUGGGCAGUGUUGUAUGGUUCAAGGGUGGCAUGGCGGUGGAGGACCCCAUUAUGGCUCAUGGCUGGGCAUGUGGGGACAUUUCCCCCGUGCUGGCCAGGCACCUUAAUGAUGGCGCGUUGACCAAUGAUGUCCCUUCCUCUCCUCCUCGACUUCACUAAAUGGAAUCCAGCCUCAUCUAUGAAUGAGUUCCUGGGGGAUGGGACUUGCGUCCAUCUCCAUGAUUCUCUAAAAUGACAGAAAAUACUAUAAUUGCUGUAUGGUAAAGUUCACUGGCAACAUCAACGAGUCUCUAAUGUUUCUAGAGUGUAAUACCAGAACAUUACGCACACAUUCCUACUAUUUAUCCUUCACUCUUCACUCAAUCUGGUGAUUCCUUUCCAAUAUGACUCUGUAGAUGUGCUUCAUCUGGAGAUGGUGUUUGUUAAGGAUGGGGUCUGUGGUUGAUAAACUCUCUCUGAUGUUAUGGAAGAUGCCAGGGUUACAGCCUCCUGUUUGUCUGUAAAUAGACAUGUACGUACGUGGUGGUCGUCUUUCAGUUCUAUAACAACUAAAUAGCAUACAGUACAGUAAACACUACAGUAAUACAGUAUACAAGAUAAACAUGUUACAAAGUAGUAUAGCUCCCAAUUUCAUACAUACAGUAAGUAAUACAUGAACCAUUUACUUUGUUUCCCUUUACAGUAUGUAUUGGAAUCUACAGUCUUUACUGUGCUUUAUGUUGUACUACUGUCAAGUAGUAAAAGUAGAAGAGAGGUCCAAUGUCUGCAGUACAAACCUCUUCUCAUUGUGGAACGUCCGGAUGAUGGAUGCUACGGGGAAGUGGCUCAGAUUGGGCUGCACUCUCUGCACAGCCUCUCUCAAGGUCAAACCAUGGUUGACCACAUGGUCUGCCCAGCAUCUCUCAAGGUCAAGCCAUGGUUGACCACAUGGUCUGCCCAGCCUCUCUCAAGGUCAAACCACGGUUGACUACAUGGUCUGCCCAGCCUCUCAAGGUCAAACCAUGGUUGACCACAUGGUCCACCACAGUCGCCGAGACUCUUGUUCUCCUUGUUCUUGGUCUUCCUUAUUCCUCACCUCUAUCUCCAACUCUCCCUGCUAAGUUUGCUUCCAUUGUUCUCCAAACACAGGAGUACUCACCUGUGGUCUUGUUGUCCAUACCAAAAGGUUUGAGUGCAAAGUUGAACAUUUAUGCAAAUCGUGUUUGAACAUGUGGAGAGUGAAAAUGAUCAAUUGGUAAUUGAGCUUAGCUUGUUGAACAGUGUUGCUUUUCAUUUGAACACAAGAGAUUUUAGUUGUCAAGGUUUUGCCAAAAUGUUUUGCCAAAUGUUGGUUAUAGAAUUUCAAUCUGUGCCAGUAGUAUUGCAGAUUUGGUUUUCUGCUUCUGCUAAAUGGGUUACAUAUUUGGGUCAUUGUGCCUCAUGGGCCAGUUUUAGUGUGUUAACAAUUGGGAAAAACUGUCAGUAUUAUUUUGCAAACCCUGUGACAAUGUGAAAGAAAACUAUUCAAACUCAGGCUCAAUGGUUGUUUCCCAUAGUGACAUUAAAGUAAAACUCCACACACAAACCAUAUUUUGGUAUUUAUUUAGUUAGUCCAUUGUUGAUAUAAUCCUAAAAUGUUUUGCACGUCAGCAAUCAAGUUUUAAAGAAACAUAACUUUCAAAAUACAGAAAUACAGCCGGUAUGAUGCCAUUUUAAUUAUAUAUUGCAAAACGCUGCAUCAUGUAAUUCAAAAUGCAUCACAACGGCUGUAUCUCCAAAAAGCGUUUCGGUGUCAUUUUCCUUUAAGUGCUGAGAGGGAAUGUAUUUCAUACUCAUUCAGCUGUACUUAUUGACAGUAGCCAGACACACAGAUGUCCUGUAUAACAAAAUAUUCAUUAGGUCAACAGUUGACCCCAAAGCAAAGGCAACAAUUUCCUAAAUGAUAGAUAAUUGUGGCACUAUUGUAAGACCAGACACUGAUAGAGACCAUCAUCUGGAAUAGAAACAGAGUUUUAAAGGGUUUCCACAGACAAAUAUACCCUUCCCCAUUACAGACAGUAGUCAUCUACCCUUCCACUUUACAGACAGUAGUCAUCUACCCUUCCCCUUUAAAGACAGUAGUCAUCUACCCUUCCCCUUUAAAGACAGUAGUCAUCUACCCUUCCCCUUUAAAGACAGUAGUCAUCUACCCUUCCACUUUACAGACAGUAGUCAUCUACCCUUCCCCUUUAAAGACAGUAGUCAUCUACCCUUCCCCUUUAUAGACAGUAGUCAUCUACCCUUCCACUUUACAGACAGUAGUCAUCUACCCUUCCCCUUUAAAGACAGUAGUCAUCUACCCUUCCCCUUUAUAGACAGUAGUCAUCUACCCUUCCCUUUUAAAGACAGUAGUCAUCUACCCUUCCCCUUUAAAGACAGUAGUCAUCUACCCUUCCCCUUAAUAGACAGUAGUCAUCUACCCUUCCCCUUUAAAGACAGUAGUCAUCUACCCUUCCCCUUUAAAGACAGUAGUCAUCUACCCUUCCCCUUAAUAGACAGUAGUCAUCUACCCUUCCCCUUUAUAGACAGUAUUCAUUGACCCUUCCCCUUUAAAGACAGUAGUCAUCUACCCUUCCCCUUUAAAGACAGUAGUCAUCUACCCUUCCCCUUUAAAGACAGUAGUCAUCUACCCUUCCCCUUUAAAGACAGUAGUCAUCUACCCUUCCCCUUUAUAGACAGUAGUCAUCUACCCUUCCCCUUUAUAGACAGUAGUCAUCUACCCUUCCCCUUUAAAGACAGUAGUCAUCUACCCUUCCCCUUUAUAGACAGUAUUCAUUGACCCUUCCCCUUUAAAGACAGUAGUAAUCUACCCUUCCCCUUUAUAGACAGUAUUCAUUGACCCUUCCCCUUUAUAGACAGUAGUCAUCUACCCUUCCCCUUUAAAGACAGUAGUCAUCUACCCUUCCCCUUUAAAUACAGUAGUCAUCUACCCUUCCCCUUUAUAGACAGUAUUCAUUGACCCUUCCCCUUUAUAGACAGUAGUCAUCUACCCUUCCCCUUUACAGACAGUAGUCAUCUACCCUUCCCCUUUAAAGACAGUAGUCAUCUACCCUUCCCCUUUAAAGACAGUAGUAAUCUACCCUUCAGCAUCAAUAUACCAUUUAACAAAACAGUAGCCGUAUAUGAAGGACCCCCCCCCCUCCUGAUUACCAGGUUUGAGGUCAAUUCCAUUUAAUUCCCAGUUAAUUCAGAAAGUAGACCAAAUUCCAAAUGGUCCUCAUUGAAAUACAUUGAAGAUAACUGGGAUUUCAGUGCACAUCCUUAUAUGACUGAAAUUUAAAUGGAAUUGACCUCCGGCCCCCCUGUUUACCACUAGCAAGAUCAAAACGGUGAGUAACUCCAUUACUCAGCCACACAAACAUCAGAGCACACAACCCCUUCAUACAAAACUGUGCGUUUUAAUAGGAUUUGAGACUGUCAAAUGUGACCCGUUACUGUGUGGGGGGUAUUCUGUUUCUUCUAAUAGUUGGUGUUGUGAAGGAUUUUCUGUGUAUGUGAAUCUGUUGUCAUAAGCACCUUGCCUUGGUCCUCCAGAUAGUGGUUCUGGAUGGGGACAACAAGCACAUUGUGAAGAAAUGGCUUAGCAAUGCAAUCUUACUAUAAGACUGAAAAUAGUUUUUAUGGGCAGAAUUUGAAUGUUUUUUAAACAAAAUAAAAGUUGUAAAAGGA